rnacentral:lncRNA from 1 species
AUCAUUUAAGAUAGCAUAGAUCAUAGGCUCUAGGUCGUUCUCGUUUGUCGUGUAACCCAAGCAGCUGGAGAGAGAAGUAGCCUGGGGAGAAGAAAACACAGGAAAAAAAAACAACUGUUCCCCACAUUCUCACACAGAAAAACCCGUGACCUCUCAAGCAGAAAACACCGAAAUAAUUAGCUCCCCUCCACAGCAAGCUGCCACUGUGGGUCAGCUCCUCCACACCAGCCACCGUCAGCCAUGAGCAGCAGCACCUGGAAGCAAAAAGAACCGUGAACUCCAGAUAUGAUGUGUUACACUCGGUGGAUAAGAGGAUUAUAAGCAUGUAUUCUCUUUGUUGUUUUGGACGGGC